rnacentral:lncRNA from 10 species
GGGGAGGUGGAGCCGGGGCCCGCGGGCCCGCUGGAGCCCCCGGAGCCGCCCGAAGCGCCCGCGAGCCGCCGGCCGGGAGGGAUCCGGGUCCUGAAGAGAAAUAUGAAACGCAAUGGGAGCAGAAAUUGUUUGAAUAGGAGAAGUAGGUUUGGUUCUCGAGAAAGAGACUGGCUAAGAGAAGAUGUAAAGAGAGGCUGUGUUUACCUUUAUGGAGCAGACACUACCACUGCCACUACAACCACCACCACCUCCUCUUCCUCUUCCUCCUCCUCCUCUUCCUCUGACUUACAUCUCGUCCUUUGCACUGUAGAGACACCAGCAUCAGAAAUAUGUGCUGGAGAGGGAAGAGAAAGUCUUUAUUUACAGCUUCAUGGAGACCUGGUCAGAAAAACCAUGCCACAUGGAUCGUUUGGAUCGAAUCCUAUUGUCUGGCAUCUAUAAUGUACGCAAGGGAAAGACCCAGCUGCAUAAGUGGGCUGAGCGCCUAGUUGUCCUCUGUGGUACCUGCCUUAUCGUUUCCUCAGUGAAGGAUUGUCAAACUGGAAAGAUGCACAUUUUGCCUCUGGUUGGUGG